rfam:Hafnia alvei FB1, complete genome.
UAGGAUUCGCCGACAGGGAUGUCGGCGAAAGAACGGAGGAGCCAGGAUGGCGAUUGCCGUUCGUUCCGUUAAGACCGAAA